GCCGAAUGCACCGCAUCCCGUCCGAUUUGCGAAGUUAAGCGGC
rnacentral:rRNA from 1 species